rnacentral:rRNA from 1 species
AUUGAACGCUGGCGGCAGGCCUAACACAUGCAAGUCGAACGAGUGGCGGACGGGUGAGUAAUGUCUGGGCAACUGCCUGAUGGAGGGGGUUAACUACUGGAAACCGUAGCUAAUACUGCAUACCAUCAGAUGUGCCCACAUGGGAUUAGCUAGUUGGUGGGGUAACGGCUCACCAAGGCGACGAUCCCUAGCUGGUCUGAGAGGAUGACCGGCCACACUGGGACGGAGACACGGUCCAGACUCCUACGGGAGGCAGCAGUGGGGAAUAUUGCACAAUGGGCGCAAGCCGGAUGCAGCCAUGCCGCGUGUAUGAAGAAGGCGUUCGGGUUGUAAAAAACUUUCAGCGGGGAGGCGUUACCCGCAGAGGAAGCACCGGCUAACUCCGUGCCAGCAGCCGCGGUAAUAC